rnacentral:lncRNA from 1 species
CAUCCAUUCUCUCCAAGCCCAGCCAUGUGUUGGCACAAGGAGCUACAGCACCAGGACAAGAGAUUGCCUAGCAACCUCUUUGAGAUUGGAUACACAGUGCUCUGAGCAGGCUGCUGCAGCAUCCCAAUUGCAGCAUCCUCAAUUCCCUCCCUAGGAAGCAUCUCCAGCUCCUCGCAAAGGGCCUUCGCGAUGAACCAACCACUGGUACUGCAGUGCUAACGCCAUCCCAGAGGUGCUAGCAGAGAAGAGGGAGAAGAAAAUGCAAGCAUUUCCCAUUCCUUAUUUUCAGAGCAGCAUCCCACCAGCAUGACUCAAGGAUCGUCUCCUCUAGAUAACUGCUGGGCCAGCCACCAGGCAUACAUUAAGCACUGAUCUCAGUCCUGCUGCUUCCCAUGCAUGGGACGAGGAUAAAAAUGUAAGGAAUUUCAGAUAAACGCAUUUGGAAAGCCACUUAGGGCUACUGGACAGAUGAAGGCAAAGAAGGCUGGGGAACAUUUUCAUAAUGAACAGUAAAAGAGGGGCACUGCUCAUCUCCUGAAAUGUGUUAACAAGUUGGUCUUUAGUUCUAGCCCCUGAGUUUUGGUUGUCAAGGCAAUCCUCCAGCACAGAAGCCUUUAAAUAAAGGAUCCCUGUAAGAACAGGAGGGAGCAAUUCCCAAAGCUGAUCUAUGCUAAGACCAUCACUGUUUUAUUUCCAUUUGUCUUGUCAAAAGAGGGAAAACAUUCAACACAAGUGUGCGCACUGGUGUGCCUUGGUGUCAUGCAGACAUCACACAGAGGAUCAAGCACCAUAGGUAUUCCCACAUACACAGGAACAAAGACAGUCCCCAAAGCAAAGGCAAUCCUUCUGGAAGGUUUCCCUUGGUUUCUAAAGGAAAACCAAGAAAACAGUUGCGGGGCUUUAGAUGACAACUAUAUAACACAAAAGGCUACAAUUCAGACCUGCUCCCUGCCCUACAGCACAUUGCUGGCAUUGCUGGGCAUCUGCUUACAGCACAUCAGCCUUGUUGUCCC